AUGGGCAACAUACUGUUGUUCUUGUUGUCUUUCCUUGGCUACUGUAAAGCAUUUAGAGAAAGUAACAGGGAGGGAGCACAUUCUUCCACCUUCUGGGUGCUGCUGUCUUUCUGGGAGCAGUGGCCGUGCUGUGCAAAGAGCUAGGGAUCACCGUGCUGGGUUUGAACGCGGUAUUUGACAUCUUGGUGACAGGUGAAUUCAAUGUUCUGGAAAUUGUCCAGAAGGGACUACGUAAGACAAGUCAUUAGAGAACUUGGAGCUCAGGAACGGGGACCACCUCUUCAGAGUGACCCUUGCUCACCUCCCGAGGGGCUGGGAUGCUCCACAUGCCCUGGAGGAUCAUAGGCACGGCCCGCUGGCCUUCACCGAGGUGGACAACCCGGCAUCCUUUGCCGACAGCCUGCCGGUGAGGGCCAUAAACUACAAUUACUGCUAUUCAUUAAACGCCCAGCUGCGGCUGUGUCCCUGGCGACUGUGUUUUGAUGGGUCAAUGGGCUGCAUCCCCCUCAUCAAGUCCGUCAGCGACUGGAGGGUGAUUGCACCUGCUACAGAACCAGCACUCCGGUUCUGCCUCAUCGGCCUAACAUGCCACGCCCCGUGCUCUGAACAUGGCCACAAGAGAAGGAUCCUUACUCUGGGCCUGGGAUUGCUCGUUAUCCCGUUUCUCUCCGCAAGGAACCUGUUCUUAGCGAUGUGCUAAGGUGCUGAGGUGCGCAGCGGCCAGGGGCGGAGUGAGGAGCAGCUUUGCGGAAGGCCCAGUCUGUGUGUCCUCAGUGCUGAGGUUCCCCACAACACUGGCAACAACCUGGCUGAUAAAGGCAACCAGACAGCCGCCAUCAGAUGCCACUGGGGAGCUGUAAGAUGAAUUCCCAAGUAUGUUCAUGCCAUGAAUAAUCUUGGAAACAGCUUAAAAGAAAGGCACGAGCUACAGGAAGCUGAGGAGCUGCCUUCUUUGGCUGUUCAAAUACAGCCAGACUUUGCUGCUGCGUGGACGGAUCUAGGCAUCCUGCAGAACAGCCUGAAACGGUUGGAAGCCGCAGAGCGAAGUUACCGGAGGGCAAUUAAACACGGAAGGAACCGCCCAGAUUGUUGCUACAGCCUCGGGCUCUGUAUGCUGAUCUCAGUCGCCACGUGGAUGCCUUGAAUGCGUGGCCCGGAGCUGAAACCAGAGCGCAGCCUGGCCUGGAACAACAUUGAUUACACUGCUCGAAAAUACAGGUAAUGUAGCUCAAGCUGAAGCAGUUGGAAGAGAGGCACUGGAAUUAAUAGCUAAUGAUCCCUCUGUCAUGUUCUCGUUGGCAAACUGCUGGGGAAAUCCCAGAAAUACAAGGAAUCUGAAGCUCUGUUCCUCGAGGCAAUGAAAGCAAAUCCAGAGUCUGCAAGUUACCGUAGUAACGUGGCUCUGCCUUAUCACGCUGGGGACACCUAGACUUGGCCAAGAAACACUGUGAAAUCUCCUUGCAGCUUGACCCCACGGCAUCAGGAACUAAGAAGAAUUACGAUCUGCUAAGAAGAAAGCUAGAACAAAUGCAGAAGAAAGACGUCUGAUCCUUUUUCCUUCAUGUUUUGAGUUUGAGUGUGUGUGUGGCAUAUCAUUAAUAAUAUGUGGUUACAUUUAACCAUUUGAAAGUCUUAGACAUAUUAUUUUAUUGAUUUUUUCUAUGAAAACAAAGAUAUGCCAAAAGAUUAUAGCACUAGCAAUAUAUUCUUGAAUGCUUGAUAUGAUUUUUCAUUGAAAUUGUAUUUUUUCAGACAACUCAAAUGUAAUUCUAAAAUUCCAAAAUUGUCUUUUUUAAUUAAACAGAAAAAGAGAAAAAAUUAUCUUGAGCAACUUUUAGUAGAAUUGAACGUACAUUUGGGAUCUGAGCCUUGUCAGGUAUGGACCAGCCCUAUUAAACUUCAAUUAUGACCAAGAAAGGAUAGACUGACUCCUACACUUUGUAUAAACAUUGAACGUGUCUAUAUGUUAGCAUUUUUAUUUAAUGACAAAGCAAAUGAAGAUUCUUGUUUUUUUUAUCUCUCUUUUUUUUUUAAAACAACAUACUGUGAACUUCGCUUGUAAGGAAAUAUUUAUUUGUAUUUUUAUGUUUGGAAUAGGACAAAUAAUCGAAUGAGGAAUGGAAAUUUUAACAUGUAGCACAUCUAUUUGCUUUUCCCGAUAGGAAGAAAUGGAUUCUUGCAGUAGUUUUUGAAUGCUCUGACUUGUGCAAUUUCAAUACAUAGGAGGUUAUAUAAUGUAAUAUUUUACAUAAAUGAUUACUAUCAACAGAAAGUUCAAGCCAUGCUUUAGGCAAGGGCAGGCAGCCUCACAUCUUUAUUUUUGUUACAUCCAAGGUGAAGAGGGCAACACAUCUGUGUAAGUUGCUUUUUAGUGUUUUUAACUGAAAAGCCGUUUUCCAUUUUGCUUAAUGAAACUAUAGACAUUAUUCUAUCCAGAAAAUGCAAAAUUUUCUCUCCAAUGGAGCCACAUUCGAGGAAUUUGUGGUAUUUUUAAGAAUUGAGUUGUUCUGGCUGUUUUUUAUUUGAUCCAAACCGUGUUUUUGUUUUGUUCUUCUCUGUGCGCUGUUGACCUAAUGAUUUACACCAUCUCUGUAAUUUCUU